GCAGGAGGCGGGGGAGAAAAGAAGCUGCGUCAGAGAAGCCAGACUCCUGUCACACCUGGGAAAGGGGGUUGGGUCCUUUUUUUUUUUUUAAAACAUGUUCAUUAGGCCAAAGUAAUGGGAAAGACAGAUUCGUUUUAUAAUCAUUAAUGACAAAAUAGAAAUUUAUGCUUCGAUAAACACUAUUCAUUUCAAUAUUUUUUAUGGCAGCACAGACAGAGGUGAUGGUUCUGAAUUAAAGCCCAGGCCCUGAACCACAGAACCAAAAGGGGAAUGGCAAAAAUAGUGUCAUAACUUGCCACCAAAAACGAAAUAUUGCACAGCCUUGAUCAGCACAGAGGUGAAGCUUUGCAUGAAAACCGAGAUCUUCAGACAACCAGACCAUCAUGGAGGAUGCUGGGACAGUGUCUCAUUUAAGGGGAAAGAAGCAAGAAAGAAAAACUGCUUGGAGAGCCCGGAGAACAGAAAUCUUAUAUUCCGGAAGGGGCCUUUGAAUGAACAGUCUCAUAGAGGUUUGGAGAGCCCUGAGAACAGAAGUCCUAUGUUCCAGAAGGGACCUUUGAAUGGACAGUCUCAAAAGGCUUGAAGAGCCCUGAGAACAGACAUCCCAUGUUUUGGAAGGGGCCUUUGAAUGGGCAGUCUCGCAAAAGAAACAGGUGGAUUUGAGCCUUGGAGAAGAGAAUGAGUGAAGGAGGAGAACCCUCAGAAGACAAAACAAGAAGAGCACAAAGAACACAAAAGGUUAGAAUGUGGUAUGUCCUCAAAAACCAUGACAUUUGACAUCUUGGAGAGUCCGGAGAACAGAAGUCCUUUGUUCUGGAAGGGGCCUUUGAAUGGACAAUCUCAAAAGGUUGCUUCUAGGGUGGAAGCUCUCAUUGGAGUCACCGAGAUGCCAUUGUAAUCCCUGCAACCAUCCCAGCCUGAACCCCUGGACAUUGCCUACAGCCAAUACCUCUCUCUCUCUCCUGAGGAUAGGGUUCCCACUGGAGUCUGUCAUUCUUGAAAGGGUGCCCUCCCCAGACGAAGAGUUCAUCUCCAGCCCCCCACAACAGAACCAAUACACCAAUUCUAAAAUGAAAGGGUGAUCGUCUAGAGCCUACAUCGCAAAUCCUAUCCCCAUUGAACCACGUGAUCAAGCGGUUGUUUUGCCUCUGUGUUUCAGCUCCCACAAUUCUUUCUCUGGAUGUGGAUAGCAGAGCAAAGGAAAACCUUGGAACAUAAAAGAGUGAAGAUCAUUUGAAUGAAAACCAGGGUUUCGACGAUCCAGAACAUUUUGCAAGGUAAAAGAAGAGUGCCUCGUUUACCUAAAAAUAAUUUUAAAUGAAAGAAAAAAAUUAUGCUAGUCAUUUCACAAGAUAAGGGAAUGAUUUCCAGGUAAACAUGGUGGCAGUCUAGACGCAAGACUCAUCCUCUCCUCAGCACCCACCGAUAUAGAUGACCUCAAAAGAAAAAAAAACAAAACAAAAACAAAAACAAA